AGGUUAUGAUGUGGGUAUUUGAGAAGUAGCUCAUUGAAGUGCUCCCAUGCCUCAAAGAAUAAGUCUCCAUCUUUUUGUUGGAAGGUGAAUUUUCCUCCUUAAUUGC